ensembl:lncRNA
CACAGUUUUAAAGCCCUAAUCACAACCACAGUGACCCUGGUGGAAUCCACUAACAUGGACUAUUUCACACUUUAAUAUGUAUUCCUGCUAAUAGGAUUCUUCAUCUGUGUGUACAAUACUGUUUGCAAUUAUUUAAGAGACAAAGUUAACUCCCAGAAUGUUAUGCACAAUUACAUACAGGACGUAGCUCAAAAUGAAGCACAAUUUGAAUCCUAGAAAUGUUUGCAACUCUGGUGAAGGUAUGACAAAUGUAUAAUUAUUAUAAUGCACUGUAUUGAUAACGCCAAUUACGAUGACUUGAUGCUUGAAGACAACAUUGAAUGGCGAUGGACCCAUUUAUAAGAGGUUUGUGUUUUAUCAGUCAGUAUUUGGGUGUAAUACCGGAAGGUGACCGGAUGUUGUCAUAUUACAGCUAUAUCGUCAUUAGCUCUACCUCUCUCUCUCUUUUCUGGUGACCGUUGGAGGAGUAACAUCUCCCCGUCCCGGGCUCUCGUUAUGUAGCCGCUAACUGCUGUUUAUUGUCCCUGAAGAAGACCUAAACCUGGUCGAAACGUUGGAUGUACAGUAAGAUGAUUCUCAUGUUUUGUCGGACUCAAGAAAAAUAAACGGCAAAGAACAACCCUUUCUCCGUUUUGUUUGCUAAUAGCUAAGUCAUGCUGGAGCUAAAUGCUAAUGCUAAGCGGGCCUACAAGCUAACUGAGGCUACCGCUAGCGAGUCCAUAGACAUUGAGGCGAACUACGCACAACAUGAGGCGAACGCGAACGCGGCACGAGAUAUGAUGAUGCAAUAACAUCGAAGCACGGGGGCUGGAGAGGAGAGAGACGACGCACACGCGAUGACCUGCCAACCGAGCCACGCCGCAGAGACCGCUCCAGGUGCAGCGUCAGCUAAGCUACAACACGGCUGCUGAUGAAGGCUUCUGUGGAUGGUGGUUCUAUGGGAUGAUGGUUCUAUCUGAUGGUGGUUGUCCCUGCAGUGGUCCUGCCGUACACCUACUUACUACGCGCAAUUAUUAGAAUCAUUUCUGUGUAGGAAUUGAAUGUAUUGUAGAUCUUUUACAUUGUUCAUUCUGUACACUUGACAUCCAUUGUAGUCUGUCCAUCCCGGGAGAGGGAUCCUCCUCUGACGUUCUCACUAAGGUUUCUUCACCUUUAUCCCCAUGGAAGGGUUUUCAUUUUUGGGGGAGUUUUUCCUGUGCCAAUGUGAGGGUUUCGGGACAGAGGAUGUUGCAUAUGUACAGACUGUGAAGCCCUCUGAUGCAAAUUAGUGAUUUGUGAUUUUGGGCUAAACAAAAUAAAAUGAAUUGGAUUGAAAAAACGUGAUAAUAGUGUAAGAUUUUAGUUCCGGUGUAGGUGCUUUUAUUGUGAAGGGGGAGAUGGAAGGAGA